UAUUGGUCAAUAGCCUAACGGCUGAACCAGCAACUAGGAGGAAUGAAUAAUUAUCGUAAAAGGUAAUUUUCUAUAAAAGAAAUUAAAUAUAGAGUUAACGUAGUUAAGUAAAAUUCCGAGUAUAGAUUGAUUAUGACAGUUUAUAUGAGAAUGUCUUGACCAAUUCAUGUGCCAGCAGUCGCGGUAACACAUGUAAGACUGGUGUUAUUCAUCUUUAAUCGGUUUAAAGGGUACCUAGACAGUUAAUUAAGCCUCAAAAGGUACUAAUAAACUAGAGUUUAAUGUAAGAAGAAGAGUACGGUGAGUGGAGAGAUAAAAUUCAGUGAUACCACUUAGAAACUGGCAAAAGCGAAGGCAAUCUUCUAUGUAAAAACUGACGUUGAAGGACGAAGGA
rnacentral:rRNA from 1 species